rnacentral:misc_RNA from 1 species
GAGAGAAAACUCCCGCAAAUCCUCGUAAUCCACGUGCUAAGAUGCGCCACCUUGACAUUCUUUGCAUUACUACGCACCUCCUCCUCCCUCUUUUUUUAAAAUCACACACACUCGCUCUAAUCUAUCUCUCUGAGUACUGUUUUCGUGUUCUAAUAGUCUAAGCAGAAAGCUCUGCCUCUCUUUUUUUGUGGGAAAAAAAAUCUUUAUUGUGUGUAUUCUACUUUUUAAUUUUUCUUUCAACAGUUUAAAGCUGCAACGAAAUCGCCAUAUACAGAAAGAGUGUGCGCAGGAUAAGAGCUUACACACUCUUUCUAGUUUGAACACAUUAUAGGAGAUUAGUAGAGUUUCAGAUAUAGGUAAAAGGAGGGAGCUUUUGAGGGAGGAGAGGGAAAAGAAGAAGGGAAUCACAGAGGUGAUGAUGAUAUAUGGAGGGGGUUCAUUGAAAGGUCGGUUUCUUUAAGGGUGAUAAAAACAAGCACUUGAUAAUAACCAAGGCAUACAAAUAGAGGGAGAGAUAAAGAGAGAGGAGGAGACCCACUCCCCUGCUUCGUUUCGCGUGCUUUGAUGCAAAAUGAUGGGUUUUCGUUCUUGUUAUAUCAAAAGGCCCACCUAAAAAAGAUUUCCCUAAGUUGCCUUUUUGCAGGUUGUGUUCCUUGAUUUUGGACUCCCUGAAGGGGGAGGGCCAGAGGCUUCUCGUUGCAUUGGUCUUUUUGGGUCACCCUCAGAUUCACAUGACAUGGUUUAAUCAAUCGUUCUUUUCCUUUUCUUCCUUUGGAGAAACGCAUAUGUGAUUUCAAGGGGGAGGUUUUUUAUUGGCGGGUGAGGUUGUUUUAAGUUGCAAUUGUGGGUUUUGGGUAGGGACGUGAAGAUGGGGUUUUCUUCUCAUUUCUUCUGGUUGGAGUAGAGGGUGUACGCAUUUCAAACAGAAGCACAUGAUGAUGGGUUCUGUUGAAGAGAAAAUCAAAGCAGGAGGCUUGGUUGGUGGAAUACAGACCAAUCUGCUCGAGGAAAUGAAGUUGUUAAAAGAAAUUCAGGACCAUUCUGGGACUCGCAAGACUAUAAACUCGGAGCUGUGGUACGCAUGUGCUGGUCCACUUGUUUCCUUGCCUCAGGUUGGAAGUCUUGUGUAUUAUUUUCCUCAAGGACACAGCGAACAGGUGGCAGUUUCCACUAAAAGAACAGCAACAUCACAAAUUCCUAACUACCCAAAUCUCCCUUCCCAGUUGCUUUGCCAAGUUCACAAUGUUGCCCUACAUGCAGACAAAGAUACGGACGAGAUCUAUGCUCAAAUGAGUCUUCAACCAGUGAACUCUGAAAAGGAUGUCUUCCCCAUACCAGAUUUUGGACUAAAGCCCAAUAAACAUCCAAGUGAAUUUUUCUGCAAAACCUUGACAGCAAGUGAUACAAGUACACAUGGUGGAUUCUCAGUGCCGCGAAGGGCAGCAGAAAAGCUUUUUCCUGCAUUGGAUUACACCAUGCAACCACCAACUCAAGAGCUUGUUGUCAGAGACUUGCAUGAUAAUACCUGGACAUUUCGCCAUAUAUAUCGCGGGCAACCUAAGCGGCACCUUCUUACAACUGGGUGGAGCAUAUUUGUUGGUACAAAAAGGCUUAAAGCAGGUGACUCUGUUCUGUUUAUCAGGGAUGAGAAGUCACAGUUAUUGGUGGGUGUGAGGCGUGCAAAUCGUCAACAAACAAUGCUGCCAUCAUCAGUUCUAUCUGCUGAUAGUAUGCAUAUUGGUGUCCUUGCUGCUGCAGCUCAUGCUGCUGCCAAUCGGAGCCCAUUCACCAUUUUUUACAAUCCAAGGGCAUGCCCCUCGGAGUUUGUCAUUCCUUUAGCUAAAUACCGAAAAGCUGUGUAUGGGACUCAAGUUUCAGUUGGUAUGAGGUUUGGAAUGAUGUUUGAAACAGAGGAGUCAGGCAAACGCAGAUAUAUGGGUACCAUAGUUGGUAUUAGUGACUUAGAUCCACUGAGAUGGCCCAGUUCCAAAUGGCGAAAUCUUCAGGUAGAGUGGGAUGAGCCAGGGUGUUCUGAUAAGCAGAAUAGGGUAAGUUCAUGGGAAAUUGAGACUCCUGAAAGCCUCUUCAUUUUUCCUUCUCUGACUUCCAGUCUCAAACGGCCCUUGCAUUCAGGAUUUUUAGGAGGAGAAACUGAAUGGGGGAACCUGAUGAAAAGACCCCUUAUUUGGAAUGGAAAUGGGAAUUUUCCAUAUUCAUCAAUUCCAAAUCUGUGUUCUGAGCAAUUAUUUAAGAUGCUAAUGAAACCUCAAGUUGUUAACCAUCCUGGAGCUGGAAUGUAUGAGUCUGCUCUCCCAGAAGUCUCUGCUUCCAAGGGUGCUUCUUUAGAUGAUGUUAAGGCCAUGCAGGGAACGGUCAAUCAGAUGCCUCAGGCUAACCAAUCAGUAGCUAUGUCAGUUGAAAAACAAACACCAGAUGGAAUUAGUAUAGAAAAGAUAAAUUCUGAACUUGACCAUUCUACAGAUCAGUUAAGCCAGGUAACCUCAACCGGAGAAUGCAAUGAGGACAAACCACCCUCAAGUCGUACAAAUCUGCAGAACUGUGGUAACCAGCUGGAAUUUCAAAACCAGAACCAGGCUCUAUUGCAUGCACAAAGCAGUCUCUGGCCUGUACAACCAUUGUUGGAGCCUUCUGUCAUGCACCCCCAGCAAAUUAAUAUACCCCAAGCUGAUUCUAAUACCCUAAAUGGUUCACUGCCUUUCCAAGAUGCUGAUGGAUGGAUUUCAAACCCCCCUUCUUGCAUCUCUCUCCCUGGGAUUUAUGGAUCAUCAGGGGCUUUGUCGAUGUUUGGGCUGCAAGAACAGUCAGCCAUACUCCCAGACCCCUCUAUACCUUUAAUGAAUCAGGAUUUGUGGGAUCAGCAACUGAACAAUUUGAGAUUUUUACCCCCAGCUAGCCAACUCGUUCCUUUAGCUCAGCAAGAACCCUGUAGUCUUAAUUCAUGUGGAACAAAAGAUUUAUCCGAUGAGAGUAAUGAUCAAAGUGGGAUUUAUGGCUCUCUUAAUUUUGAUGUUGGCAAUGGGGGUAGUGCCGUAAUUGAUCCUUCGGUGUCAAAUGCCAUUUUGGACGAUCUCUGUACGUCAAAGGAUGUUGAUUUUCAGAAUCCUUCAAAUUGUCUGCUUGGCAACUUUAACUCGAGCCAGGAUGUUCAGUCUCAGAUUACUUCAGCAAGCCUGGCAGACUCGCAAGCUUUCUCACAGCAGGACUUUCCAGACAGCUCAGGUGGCACACCUUCUAGCAAUUUGGAUUUUGAGAAGGGCAAUUAUAUGCAGAAUAACUCAUGGCAGCAAGUUGCUCCACGAGUGCGAACAUACACAAAGGUUCAAAAGGCCGGCUCAGUUGGUAGAUCAAUAGAUGUCUCAAGUUUUAAAAACUAUGAAGAAUUAUGUUCUGCAAUUGAAUGCAUGUUCGGACUUGAGGGGCUGCUUAAUAAUCCAAGAGAGUCUGGGUGGAAGCUGGUAUACGUUGACUACGAGAAUGAUGUUCUACUUAUUGGAGAUGAUCCUUGGGAGGAAUUUGUUGGCUGUGUACGUUGCAUAAGGAUUCUGUCACCUUCAGAAGUUCAGCAGAUGAGCGAGGAGGGAAUGAAGCUUCUUAACAACCCUAAUAUCCAGGGCCUCGCUGCUUCCAUUACAGAAGGUGGCCGUGCUUGAGAUUGUGCUUGACAUUGAACAAUGGCGUUACCCAAAGCAACUUCUUUGAAUGGUGUAACAUCUCGAUCGACUCUUGCCAAGUUUACGAUUUACUGAUACCACAGUGACGGUGAGUGAUGUGGGCACUACUGUGUUAGAAUGGCUUUAGAUGUAAUCUAUGAAAUAUGAGAUGACAUUUGUUCACGUCAUGCAUGAGAUACUUUAUAAUAUCGUGUUGUACAAGCCCUUUUAGUUUGCUAUGUGGUGGUAAUUACAUAAUGGAUUUUUUUUCUCUUAGGUCCGCU